CUAGCGACAGGCCUAACACAUGCAAGUCAGGGGCAUCAGGGUUGAAGCUUGCUCCCGGGUGGCGAGUGGCGCACGGGUGAGUAAUACAUCGGAACGUGUCCUGUUGUGGGGGAUAACUGCUCGAAAGGGUGGCUAAUACCGCAUGAGACCUGAGGGUGAAAGCGGGGGAUCGCAAGACCUCGCGCAAUUGGAGCGGCCGAUGCCCGAUUAGCUAGUUGGUGGGGUAAAGGCUCACCAAGGCGACGAUCGGUAGCUGGUCUGAGAGGACGACCAGCCACACUGGGACUGAGACACGGCCCAGACUCCUACGGGAGGCAGCAGUGGGGAAUUUUGGACAAUGGGGGCAACCCUGAUCCAGCCAUGCCGCGUGCAGGAUGAAGGCCUUCGGGUUGUAAACUGCUUUUGUCAGGGACGAAAAGGACCGUGUUAAUACCAUGGUCUGCUGACGGUACCUGAAGAAUAAGCACCGGCUAACUACGUG
rnacentral:rRNA from 1 species